rnacentral:miRNA from 1 species
CUGCGUCUGGGGAGGGGGCCA